UGCCAGCAGCCGCGGUAACACGAACUUCGCGAACGUUAUUCGGAAUGACUGGGCGUAAAGGGUACGUAGGCGGUUUGGUCAGUUAGAUGUGAAAGCCCAGGGCUCAACCUUGGAACUGCAUUUAAUACUGCCAAACUUGAGAUCGGAAGAGGAAAGCGGAAUUUCUAAUGUAGAGGUGAAAUUUGUAGAUAUUAGAAGGAACAUCAGAGGCGAAGGCGGCUUUCUGGUCCGAUACUGACGCUGAGGUACGAAAGCGUGGGGAGCAAACAGGAUUAGAUA
rnacentral:rRNA from 1 species